rnacentral:rRNA from 1 species
GACGAACGCUGGCGGCGUGCCUAAUACAUGCAAGUAGAACGCAGUUGCGAACGGGUGAGUAACGCGUAGGUAAAUGACUCAUCGAGGGGGGUAACUCUUGGAAACGAUAGCUAAAACAGCAUACUGUGAGCUGGACCUGAGUUUGAUUAGCUAGUUGGUGAGGUAAAGGCUCACCAAGGCGACGAAACAAAGCCGACCUGAGAGGAUGAUCGGCCACACUGGGACUGAGACACGGCCCAGACUCCUACGGGAGGCAGCAGUAGGGAAUCUUCGGCAAUGGACGGAAGUCUGACCGAGCAACGCCGCGUGAGUGAAGACGUUUUUCGGAUCGUAAAGCUCUGUUGUUAGAGAAGCGGUACCUAACCAGAAAGGGACGGCUAACUACGUGCCAGCAGCCGCAGUAAUAC